rfam:Triticum aestivum genome assembly, contig: Triticum_aestivum_CS42_TGACv1_scaffold_577054_7BL
CACAUACUCUCUCCGUCCAGAAAUACUUGUCAUCAAAAUAGGUAAAAGAGGAUGUACCUAGACGUAUUUUAAUUCUAGAUACAUCUCAUUUUAUCCAUUUUGAUGACAAGUAUUUUUGGACGGAGGGGGUAUCAG